rnacentral:rRNA from 1 species
AGCAUGUAUUACCGCGGCUGCUGGCCAAUGGUGAGCAUGUAUUACCGCG